CUCUAGCCCCGAUAGCAGUGGAAAUCCUUUUCUUUUUUAUUUAAAAAAGAAAAGAUUGUAACGAAUAGCGGGAAAUUGC
rnacentral:sRNA from 2 species